AUGACAAAACUGAACAAUAACAUAUCAGAGUUUCAACCCAAUGCAAAGUUCACAUCUCAAAAAAACAAGACUGCAGUAACAAAUUUUGACAGGGGCCACAAACAAAAACAGAUAUCAGAAGCCCAAUAUGGAAACAAAUUUCUCACAGGCCUAUUAUCAAUCAUUGAACCAACACAUUCAAAACCCUAA